rnacentral:hammerhead_ribozyme from 1 species
GCACUGCUGAGGAGUCCCACAACAGGAUGAAACGGCUGUCCAGAGC